rnacentral:pre_miRNA from 1 species
AAACACCAGUGUAUAUUCUCUUUUUAAAGUUUCAUAAAUAGAAUAUGCGCUGCCGUUUAG